ensembl:lncRNA
UGGCCUAUUCUGGUUUUUCAGAGCCCAAAAUCCCAUCACAAAGUGGCCUAUUCUGGCUUUUCAGAGCCCAAAAUGCAUCACAAAGACCCAAUUUGGACUAUUCCGAACCCAAAAUCCAUCACAAAGACCCCAAUUCUGGACUUAUCUGAGCCCAAAACAAUGAAGAAGGCCCCAAUUCUGGCUUUUUUGAGCCCAAAAUCCAUCACAAAGACCCAAUUCUGGUUAUUCUGAGCCCAAAAUCCAUUACAAAGACCCAAUUCUGGCUUUUCUGAACCCAAAAUCCAUUACAAAGACCCAAUUCUGGCUUUUCUGAGCCCCAAAUCCAUCACAAAGUGCCCAAUUCUGGCUUUUUUGAGCCCAAAAUCCAUCACAAAGUGCCCAAUUCUGGCUUUU